rnacentral:lncRNA from 1 species
CUCCCUUUGAGAUUUUUACGUAUGAGCCAAGAAAUAAACAAAAGUAAAUAUUUUGCUACAAAAUGUACAAAUCUAUGUAAAUUUCUUUUUGGGUAUGGUCAUUGAUCAUAUCUAUAAUGACCAUAAAAGGAUGUUUAAAAUUACUAUAAUAGGUCAAAUUUGUCCAUAUUAACAUGUGACAUCUUAGUGUCAUCAAAGUUGACAUUUCAGCAUUUACAUCAUCAUUUAAUUUAUCAAUAAAUAACAUAUUUUUGAAUAGCUUGAACAAAAUAUGAAAAGACUCUUAUCAUAUUCCCCCUUUUUGUGUAAUUCAUACAGGAAAAGAAGACUGUUAAAAAAUUACAUUGAUUACAGUAAAUUCACAAACUCCCUUGUGAUUUGCAAGAUUAAUAAUUGCGAUUUCAGAAACUUCUGCAUACAGAUAUUAGAUUUCAGAAUGUGAGUUCUAAAUUGUGACACUUCAAGUUGCAUUAUUCGCAUCAAUAAAAAUUUCAAAUAAAUUCUGUAACAUUUUACAAAUACCAAAAUAAUUAUUAUUACAACCUAGUACCCUUGUUUUAAAAUUUUACACACAAUACAAAUUUUCCAAAGAGAACCACCCAUUAAAAUAUGUCAAGUUAUGUGAAAUUGAAUCUUGUAUCCUAGUUCCGCAAGGAAAAUCAUCCCCAAGCGCCAUUAAAAAAGUUGACUCAAAAAAAGAAGCAUGCAGUUAACAUAUCGAUCAGUUUUUUUAAUACUGAAAAUGAAGUU